UGGGGAAUUUUGGACAAUGGGGGGAACCCUGAUCCAGCCAUGCCGCGUGAGUGAAGAAGGCCUUCGGGUUGUAAAGCUCUUUUGUCCGGGAGGAAAUCGUCGAUGUGAAUAAUGUUGAUGGAUGACAGUACUGGAAGAAUAAGCACCGGCUAACUACGUGCCAGCAGCCGCGGUAAUACGUAGGGUGCGAGCGUUAAUCGGAAUUACUGGGCGUAAAGGGUGCGCAGGUGGUUUAUCAAGCCAGAUGUGAAAUCCCCGGGCUUAACCUGGGAAUGGCAUUUGGGACUGAUAGGCUAGAGUACGGCAGAGGGGGGUAGAAUUCCACGUGUAGCAGUGAAAUGCGUAGAGAUGUGGAGGAAUACCGAUGGCGAAGGCAGCCCCCUGGGUUGAUACUGACACU
rnacentral:rRNA from 1 species